AAAUUGAAGAGUUUGAUCAUGGCUCAGAUUGAACGCUGGCGGCAGGCCUAACACAUGCAAGUCGAACGGUAACAGGAAACAGCUUGCUGUUUCGCUGACGAGUGGCGGACGGGUGAGUAAUGUCUGGGAAACUGCCCGAUGGAGGGGGAUAACUACUGGAAACGGUAGCUAAUACCGCAUAACGUCGCAAGACCAAAGAGGGGGACCUUAGGGCCUCUUGCCAUCGGAUGUGCCCAGAUGGGAUUAGCUAGUAGGUGGGGUAACGGCUCACCUAGGCGACGAUCCCUAGCUGGUCUGAGAGGAUGACCAGCCACACUGGAACUGAGACACGGUCCAGACUCCUACGGGAGGCAGCAGUGGGGAAUAUUGCACAAUGGGCGCAAGCCUGAUGCAGCCAUGCCGCGUGUAUGAAGAAGGCCUUCGGGUUGUAAAGUACUUUCAGCGGGGAGGAAGGGAGUAAAGUUAAUACCUUUGCUCAUUGACGUUACCCGCAGAAGAAGCACCGGCUAACUCCGUGCCAGCAGCCGCGGUAAUACGGAGGGUGCAAGCGUUAAUCGGAAUUACUGGGCGUAAAGCGCACGCAGGCGGUUUGUUAAGUCAGAUGUGAAAUCCCCGGGCUCAACCUGGGAACUGCAUCUGAUACUGGCAAGCUUGAGUCUCGUAGAGGGGGGUAGAAUUCCAGGUGUAGCGGUGAAAUGCGUAGAGAUCUGGAGGAAUACCGGUGGCGAAGGCGGCCCCCUGGACGAAGACUGACGCUCAGGUGCGAAAGCGUGGGGAGCAAACAGGAUUAGAUACCCUGGUAGUCCACGCCGUAAACGAUGUCGACUUGGAGGUUGUGCCCUUGAGGCGUGGCUUCCGGAGCUAACGCGUUAAGUCGACCGCCUGGGGAGUACGGCCGCAAGGUUAAAACUCAAAUGAAUUGACGGGGGCCCGCACAAGCGGUGGAGCAUGUGGUUUAAUUCGAUGCAACGCGAAGAACCUUACCUGGUCUUGACAUCCACGGAAGUUUUCAGAGAUGAGAAUGUGCCUUCGGGAACCGUGAGACAGGUGCUGCAUGGCUGUCGUCAGCUCGUGUUGUGAAAUGUUGGGUUAAGUCCCGCAACGAGCGCAACCCUUAUCCUUUGUUGCCAGCGGUCCGGCCGGGAACUCAAAGGAGACUGCCAGUGAUAAACUGGAGGAAGGUGGGGAUGACGUCAAGUCAUCAUGGCCCUUACGACCAGGGCUACACACGUGCUACAAUGGCGCAUACAAAGAGAAGCGACCUCGCGAGAGCAAGCGGACCUCAUAAAGUGCGUCGUAGUCCGGAUUGGAGUCUGCAACUCGACUCCAUGAAGUCGGAAUCGCUAGUAAUCGUGGAUCAGAAUGCCACGGUGAAUACGUUCCCGGGCCUUGUACACACCGCCCGUCACACCAUGGGAGUGGGUUGCAAAAGAAGUAGGUAGCUUAACCUUCGGGAGGGCGCUUACCACUUUGUGAUUCAUGACUGGGGUGAAGUCGUAACAAGGUAACCGUAGGGGAACCUGCGGUUGGAUCACCUCCUUA
rnacentral:rRNA from 1 species